rnacentral:lncRNA from 1 species
CAGAAACUCAACUUAACAGCAGAUCCACCUCUAUCCUCAACUAUUUCACAAAGACUAGCUGGAUAUGGAACCUUUGGGACUCACAAAUGUUAUUGGAGAUGAAGAUGAGAUAAAGACAACAGGAUACCCCAAACCUUGAUCCCUGGAUGGCUGCAAGGAUUUUGAGACCACUUUGAAGCUGUGUACAGAAGACUUUUCCACAGGCAUACACAACACCCUGCCUUCAUACCCUGAAGGAAUGAAAGCUGUUGACAUUACUUGGAAGAAAAUAAAGAACUUGAAUCUGUUUUUGUGCUAUACAGUAUCAAAUAUCCUGCAUUCUCGGAGUCAUUCUAGGAAGAAACAACCAGGAACAACUUGCUAUUAAAACUGGCUGAAGAACCACGUGAGAUUUCAGCCACCCCUGCUUUCCCAGUAAUCAAACAAUAGAAAAGGACAUUAUCAUCAUUGCAAAUAAUAAACAUUUACACAAGAAACAUUAUACAGAGAACACAGAAUUGAACAUGUUCUGAAGGCAUUUAAGUCACAAUUUAAAGCUGGGUAGAGAGAAAACGCUCAAAAACAUGCCUUCAACUUUCCCUGUGGGGAAACAAGCCUGCUGCUUGUUAACUUUCUCCAGGCAAAGUUAAUGGCUUCCUCUUCCAUAUUCUCAUAAUGCUCUGUCUACAUUGUAUUUCUUCUCACUGUGUUUUGUGUAUAUCCAGUGGCCUCUCAGCAAUCCCUCUGGACUGAGACCUCGAGAUCAGGAACUCAAAUUUUGUAUAUCCUCAGUAUUUAGCAUAACAAUUGCCACAUAGUAGGUGUGUUACUGUUGUUUGUUUUAUGAAUAAAUGGAUGCUGAACAACAUCUCCUUUUUAUCCCUACAAUAAAACUAUGAUGUAAAUAAUAUUAUUGUUCCUCCUUUAAAGAUGAGCCAAUUGGCAUAUUCCAGGUCACAUAGCUAGUUAGUUGCAGGGGCAGGGUCCUAAAACUUUCAGGUACCAAACACAUGGUUUGGAACAAAGGAAAGACAUUGCCUCUUAGGGAACAGAUGAACUAAUGAAGCCAUCUCUCAGGUCCAAUCCAGGUCAACGAGUGGCCGUUUAUCAAAGUCCCAGAGUUGCUAAGAUUUGGUUUCAAAUCUUUUCUUUAUUCCACUAUCUCUGGGGGUUCUUUUCAAUGAGGCAGAAUUGUAAAGAGGGGCCCGAUGUGGUGGCCUGCAUCUAUAAUUCCAGCACUUUGGGAGGCCGAGAAGGGUGGAUCACUUGAGCUCAGAAGUUU